GAAUGAGGUGAUGAUUUGAACUUUGUGUUCCCUAUUGGUUUGAUUUGCCGCAAUGAUGGCAUCAAUGUAUUAGCUCUAUCUGAUCAUUC